rnacentral:rRNA from 1 species
CGAGUGGCGGACGGGUGAGUAAUGUCUGGGAAACUGCCUGAUGGAGGGGGAUAACUACUGGAAACGGUAGCUAAUACCGCAUAACGUCGCAAGACCAAAGAGGGGGACCCUCGGGCCUCUUGCCAUCGGAUGUGCCCAGAUGGGAUUAGCUUGUUGGUGGGGUAACGGCUCACCAAGGCGACGAUCCCUAGCUGGUCUGAGAGGAUGACCAGCCACACUGGAACUGAGACACGGUCCAGACUCCUACGGGAGGCAGCAUG